rnacentral:rRNA from 1 species
GACGAACGCUGGCGGCGCGCUUAACACAUGCAAGUCGAACGGAAAGGCCUGCUUUCCCUUGUGGAUUGCGGGUACUCGAGUGGCGAACGGGUGAGUAACACGUGAGUGAUCUGCCCCCAACUUGGGUAUAAGCCUGGGAAACUGGGUCUAAUUCCCGAUAGGACUGCAGGGUGGUGCCUGUGGUGGAAAACGAUUUUCUAGUGGUUGGGGAUGAGCUCGCGGCCUAUCAGCUUGUUGGUGGGGUAAUGGCCUACCAAGGCGGCGACGGGUAGCCGGCCUGAGAGGGUGGACGGCCACAUUGGGACUGAGAUACGGCCCAGACUCCUACGGGAGGCAGCAGUGGGGAAUAGUGCACAAUGGGCGGAAGCAUGAUGCAGCGACGCCGCGUGGGGGAUGACGGCCUUCGGGUUGUAAACUCCUUUCGACCGCGAGGAAGCCACCUGGUUGGAAGGGUGGUGACGGUAGUGGUAGAAGAAGCACCGGCUAACUACGUG